rnacentral:rRNA from 12 species
GGAAGUAAAAGUCGUAACAAGGUCUCCGUUGGUGAACCAGCGGAGGGAUCAUUG